rnacentral:rRNA from 1 species
CAAGAGCGUAUGUAAAAGUUGUUGCAGUUAAAAAGCUCGUAGUUGAACCUUGGGUUUGGUUGGCCGGUCCGCUUUUUUGCGAGUACUGGAUUCAACCGAGCCUUUCCUUCUGGCUAACCAGUCGUUUCGGCGGCUGGCGAACCAGGAUUUUUACUUUGAGAAAAUUAGAGUGUUUAAAGCAGGCAUUAGCUUGAAUAUAUUAGCAUGGAAUAAUAGAAUAGGACGUUAUGGUUCUAUUUUGUUGGUUUCUAGGACCAUCGUAAUGAUUAAUAGGGACGGUCGGGGGCAUCAGUAUUCAGUUGUCAGAGGUGAAAUUCUUGGAUUUACUGAAGACUAACUACUGCGAAAGCAUUUGCCAAGGACGUUUUCAUUAA